rnacentral:tRNA from 1 species
GGCGCUGUAGCUCAAGUGGUAGAGCACUUCGCUUGAGCUGAAGAGCUCAAGGACAGUGCCC